rnacentral:rRNA from 1 species
AUGGCGACGCUGACCUCGGAGCUGCUGCGGCCGGUGCACGCGGCGCAGGCGCUGGACGAGGCGGCGCUGCUGCGCUACGCGGCCGCGCACGUCCCGGGCUUCCCGGCGCCCGCGCCGUCGCUCGCCCUCACGCAGUUCGGCCACGGCCAGUCCAACCCCACCUACUGCAUCCAGGCCGCCGCGCCCGGCGGGGAGGCCCGGCGCUACGUGCUGCGGAAGAAGCCCGCCGGCGCCAUCCUCCAGUCCGCCCACGCCGUCGAGCGCGAGUUCCAGGUUCUCAAAGCUUUGGGUGCCUACACGGAUGUUCCUGUCCCUAAGGUGUUUUGCCUUUGCACUGAUGCUAGUGUGAUCGGAACCCCGUUCUACAUAAUGGAGUAUCUGGAAGGAGCAUUAUAUCUUAAUAACAAGUUAACGGGAGUAACCCCAGAGAAACGGAGGAAUAUAUACUUGGCUGCUGCAAAAACUUUGGCUGCUGUACACAAAAUUGAUGCGACUGCAGUUGGAUUGCAUAAGUAUGGAAGAAGAGACAAUUAUUGCAAAAGACAAGUAGAAAGAUGGGGAAAACAAUAUCUUCAUUCAACCGGUGAAGGGAAGCCUGCGCGUUAUCAGAAGAUGCUUGAUCUGAUUGGUUGGUUGAAAGAAAAUAUACCAGAAGAAGAUUCAUCGACAGGAUUGGGAACUGGCCUUGUUCAUGGUGAUUAUCGUGUUGAUAACCUUGUUUUUCACCCAACUGAGGAUCGAGUGAUAGGUGUACUUGAUUGGGAAUUAUCUACUUUGGGGAAUCAAAUGUGUGAUGUUGCUUACAGCUGUAUGCCAUAUAUCAUUGAUGCAACACUCAGUGAAAAUAGUUCGUAUGGAGGAUUUGAACAUUCUGGCAUUCCAGAUGGCAUUCCUCAACUGGAGGAGUACCUAGCUGUGUACUGCUCUAUGUCUGCACGACCUUGGCCUGCAGCAAAUUGGAAGUUCUACAUUGCCUUUUCACUCUUUCGAGGGGCAUCUAUCUAUGCAGGAGUAUACCACAGAUGGACUAUGGGUAAUGCUUCAGGUGGUGAGCGUGCUAGAUUUGCCGGCAAGGCUGCCAAUGUUAUGGUUGACUGUGCCUGGGAUUACAUUAAUAGAGAAAAUGUCCUGCGAGCACACCCUGCUACAGGUAUGCAUGUCUCGAAGGCUCCCAGGCAAGGUUUCCAUGUAGAGCAGGAAGAUUCAACUUUGACAAAUGGUCAAGGCAAAUUUGUUCCUAGCGAAAAGGUUAUGCAGCUACGGCAAAAAAUAAUGAAGUUCAUGAAAGAUCAUAUAUAUCCCAAGGAGGAUGAGUUAUACAAACAUGCACAAUCAACCUCACGGUGGACAAUCCAUCCUGAAGAAGAAAAUUUGAAAGCAUUAGCAAAAGAGGAGGGAUUGUGGAACUUAUUUAUUCCGCUUGACAGUGCAGCUAGAGCAAGAAAGCUACUACUUGAGGACCAAUCUCAUGUUUCUGCUGGAAGUUCAAAUGAUCUUUUGCUAGGUGCUGGUCUCACAAAUCUUGAGUAUGGAUAUUUAUGUGAGAUUAUGGGCCGGUCAGUUUGGGCUCCACAAAUAUUUAACUGUGGUGCACCCGAUACGGGUAAUAUGGAGGUCCUGUUGAGAUAUGGGACUAAGGAGCAACAGAAGCAGUGGCUUGUUCCUCUACUGGAAGGGAAAAUUCGUUCGGGAUUUGCAAUGACAGAACCACAAGUUGCAUCUUCAGAUGCAACAAACAUAGAAUGUGCAGUAUCCAGGCAGGGAGAUUUCUAUGUGAUAAAUGGCAGGAAAUGGUGGACCAGUGGGGCUAUGGACCCGAGGUGUAAAAUCCUGAUAUUAAUGGGAAAAACAGAUUUCUCUGCACCUAGACAUAAACAGCAGUCGAUGAUCUUAGUGGAUAUCAACACACCCGGAGUGCAGAUAAAGAGACCAUUGUUAGUCUUUGGGUUCGAUGAUGCACCGCAUGGACAUGCAGAGAUUACUUUUGAUAACGUGCGUGUUCCUGUCACAAAUAUCCUCCUCGGAGAAGGACGUGGUUUCGAGAUUGCUCAAGGAAGACUAGGUCCUGGAAGAUUACAUCAUUGCAUGCGACUAAUAGGAGCAGCGGAACGUGGCAUGAAUAUGAUGGUUGAGAGGGCCUUAAGUAGGACCGCUUUUGGAAAGAAGAUUGCACAGCAUGGUUCCUUUCAGUCAGACCUGGCAAAGUGUCGGAUAGAACUGGAGCAAACUAGGCUUCUGGUGCUUGAAGCAGCCGAUCAACUCGACAGGCAUGGGAACAAGAAGGCCCGUGGGAUCCUCGCAAUGGCCAAGGUGGCGGCUCCAAAUAUGGCCCUGAAAGUGCUUGACAUGGCAAUACAAGUCCACGGCGCCGCCGGGGUCUCAUCCGACACGGCCCUAUCCCAUCUAUGGGCAACCGCUAGGACACUGCGGCUCGCUGACGGCCCUGAUGAAGUCCAUCUCGGCACGAUCGCGAAGCUGGAGCUGCAAAGGGCAAGGCUGUAA